rnacentral:rRNA from 1 species
AUUGAACGCUGGCGGCAGGCCUAACACAUGCAAGUCGAGCGAGCGGCGGACGGGUGAGUAAUGUAUGGGGACUGCCCGAUAGAGGGGGCUAACUACUGGAAACGGUGGCUAAUACCGCAUACUCUCGGAUAACCCAUAUGGGAUUAGCUAGUAGGUGGGGUAAAGGCCCACCUAGGCGACGAUCUCUAGCUGGUCUGAGAGGAUGAUGCGCCACACUGGGACUUGGACGAGGCCCAGGCUCCUACGGAGGGAGCAGUGGGGAAUAUUGGACAAUGGGGGCAAGCCGUAUGAAGCCAUGCCGCGGGUACGAAGAAGGCCUUAGGGUUGGAAAGUACUUUCAGCGGGGAGGCGUUACCCGCAGAAGAAGCACCGGCUAACUCCGUGCCAGCAGCCGCGGUAAUUC